rnacentral:rRNA from 1 species
CAGAGACUGCAAGCGUUAUUCGGAUUCACUGGGCGUAAAGGGUGCGCAGGCGGCCGGGUGUGUCAGAUGUGAAAUCCCGAGGCUUAACCUCGGAACUGCGUCUGAAACUACUCGGCUAGAGUACUGGAGAGGGUAACGGAAUUCACGGUGUAGCAGUGAAAUGCGUAGAUAUCGUGAGGAACACCAGAGGCGAAGGCGGUUACCUGGACAGUUACUGACGCUCAGGCACGAAAGCAUGGGGAGCAAAAGGGAUUAGAUACCCCUGUAGUCCAUGCCCUAAACGGUGCACACUAGGUCUUAGCGGAUUUGACCCCACUAGGGCCCAAGCUAACGCGUUAAGUGUGCCGCCUGAGGACUACGGUCGCAAGACUA